AUUGAACGCUGGCGGCAUGCCUUACACAUGCAAGUCGAACGGCAGCGGGGGAGAAGCUUGCUUUUCCUGCCGGCGAGUGGCGAACGGGUGAGUAAUACAUCGGAACGUGCCCUGUAGUGGGGGAUAACUAGUCGAAGGAUUAGCUAAUACCGCAUACGACCUGAGGGUGAACGUGGGGGACCGCAAGGCCUCAUGCUAUAGGAGCGGCCGAUGUCUGAUUAGCUGGUUGGUGGGGUAAAGGCCCACCAAGGCGACGAUCAGUAGCUGGUCUGAGAGGACGAUCAGACACACUGGGACUGAGACACGGCCCAGACUCCUACGGGAGGCAGCAGUGGGGAAUUUUGGACAAUGGGCGAAAGCCUGAUCCAGCAAUGCCGCGUGUGUGAAGAAGGCCUUCGGGUUGUAAAGCACUUUUGUCCGGAAAGAAAUGGCUCUGGUUAAUACCUGGGGUCGAUGACGGUACCGGAAGAAUAAGGACCGGCUAACUACGUGCCAGCCGCCGCCGUAAUAC
rnacentral:rRNA from 1 species